CUCAUAAUGGCGUCAGAAUUUUCUAAUCGUCGUAAUAGUAUCACUUUUGAUCGCGUGUCAUGAUUUUUUCGCGUUGAUUCACAGUUCAGCUCGUUUCAUCUAGAAUUUCAUUAAUUAUUUGAAAUCCUGUUUGAAGAAGAUAUCAAAUCACUUUUCGUUAUCGGAAAUAUAACCAAAAGAGAUCAACUUGGAAAUACAGGAUGUGGCUUCAGUUCAUGAUAAUGUGUAUGCAGUAUGUGCCGGGUACUCCGUCCAUCUACGUCCUAACCUGGCUUCAACAUUUGGUGCGAUGGAAUUGUAAUAAUAAUUAUCCGAAUAUCGUCGAACCAGUGCAGCGUGAAAAUUAAUCUUUCGAAGUAAUAACGUUCAUCUAUCAUUCUAUCGCUACUAAUGAUAAUUAUUCAACUUCGACUGUGCAGCACGAAAAUACAAUGGCCCAGGACUGUCGAAUUCAAUACCGGACAUUUUAUUUAUGACAACAUGAUUUGUACGCGAGGUGUCAUCUAUGGUCCCUGUGCCGUCUUUCAACGUUGAGCCGCACAAUGGACACGAUUUAAUAUUAAAGGCUCCCUGACUUUUGGUCAAAUAUCGCGACGACAAUCACCACGAAUCGCAACGCCGCCCACGUAUCGCAAACAGGCCUAAGAUUCCCCCACACAUUCCAGAAAUUAGUUUCCACAACUGACGCUUCAGAUGUUUUUCUCUUUCUAUUGAAUUAGCAACUAAGUGAUUGCGGAUUUUGUCAAUACCACCCAAUGACAAAAUUCGCAAUCACUUAGUUGCCAACCCAAUAGUACCACCAGCACAUGUUUAUUUCAAGCGUUACUUUUCAGAAGCGAAUUAGUUGUCGCUACACUGAUGAAGAUUAAUAGUUGGUUUCUCUGGCAAUCCAGCAACUGUAGACGCUGGCCAUUUUUCAGAAGAGAUAGUUUAAUUGGUAGAUCGGAUUGCUAGAUGCACGAGUUUCCUCUUCUUCAUGGUCGUUUUGCCGUCCUAUGUCUGAGAUCUCGACAUGCUACCUCAAUUAAUUCUGUUUCAUUUUUACCGUACAAGGAAUGUGUUUUUUAGAAUAAGAGAAAUCUCUUAGGUUGAUAUUCAAAAUAAUUAAACAUUGAUUUAAUAAUAAUUUUCAAAAUAACUAGACAUUAAUAGAAACCCACGAUUGGAUUCAGUAUCGGCAUUCCAUAUUGAAGAUUAAUUACGUGUUCAUCUAUUACUAGAAAAUUAAUGAUGUAACUUUUUAGAAUAGGAAGCUGUUUCAAUUUUCUUAAAUCCUUCACGACGAUCUUUGUAAUUUCUGUAAUACGUACACAUUAACAGAAACCCCAAAUUGAAUUCAAUAUUGGCAUUUAAAUAUAGUUGGAGAUUAAUUAGGAGUUCAUCCGGCUGUUAUCAGACAGUUUGUGAUAUUCAGUAUUGGUAUUUGCAUAAGGGUAAAGGUCAACUAGAAAUUCAUUGAUUAUCAAAUAAUUUAUGGUAUAAUUUCAUAAGACAGGCAACUAUUUUGCAUGAAAACUUAGAUUAAUUGAAACUGUGUAUUUGCUUUCGAUUACUAAAAUACGAAGAUAUAAUUAAAUUAUCAAAUUCUGGAAGCAAUUUAUUCAAUGCGAAUUAGUUAAAGGGAAGUAUCAACUUAGAUUGCAAAAUGUUAAUAUAUCAAGGCCAAUAGAAUUUCAAACCUGUAGCGAUCCUUAACAAUGUUGCAAAAUAUUGUAUUUCCUGACGUUCCAAAUGAUCUUUUUAGCUCUAUUUAUAUACAAUUCUUUUACAAACAAUUUCAUCACUCUUAUCGUAUUGCAAAUAUCUGUUUACACAACUGUGAGUAGAUCAUUUGCCUGUAAUAAAAAUAAGUCACAACUCUAAUAAUGUCGAGAAACGCAAUUGUAUGAAAAUUAAAUCGCUUCUUCGCAAUUUAUAUAAGCAUUUGUAAUAUUUGAAAUUUUCAACAUGGACUACGUUUAAGAGAUGAAGCAGUCGUUUUGCUAAUACGAAAUAUCAGAAGAUUAAAUGACCAAAAAUUAAGAAUUAACGGAAAUUCCAUUUCAAGUUCGGAAACUUGUUUAACCGUGACCCGCGUUUUAACCGCAAGAGGGUGUGCGAAUAUUACCACAGAUAUUGGAUAUCGGGUUUGUUAAUUAUUUCAACGUUUUCAGUUAUCAGUAACCGAAAAUGGAGCUACGUUUCGCCACGUGAUAAUUUCCAAAAGCAAUUUUAUGUAAAAAUACUCAGAAAUUCAGGAUUAUUAUUCGCGCCGAGAUCGUAAAAAUUCACUCGUGUGCUAAAAGUUAGCUCUUUGUUAGAUCCUUGGCAGCAGAAACCAGAAAAUUCCACUCGGAAAUUUACAUCGUUUAAUACAUUUAUUACUAGAAAAUGUUACUAUAUGUUCACAUAUGAAAUUAGCAAUUUUUAAAUAAAAAAUAGCUUUACUUUAAUAAUAGAAUUAAUGAUCAUACAUACGACAUAUAUAUAUAAUAAAUGAAUAUGCUUUGCACGAACACAUUCCCCACUGCACGUGUUGCUUUCCUAAAUGAUUUUGCUGAAACGCAUAGAAACAGAAUGUACUGAUAAUCUGAAUAUCUAAUCAUCUUCACCAAGCAAUAAUCAGAAUGUUCAUCUCUGUGCAAUCUCAUCGUAGAUCGCUUCAAAUAUCGUGUACAGUUUUAUAUCUUAUAUUUCUGCAUACUUUCAAAAAUUUAUUCAGACUGCUGAGUCACUGUUUUGUGAUCUGUUUUUCUUCUAUUAUCGAGUACAGAGAUUUCGCUGGUCGACUUUUUGUUUGUCCUAUAGUGUCACGUUUAAAACGAUUUUCGAAAUUCGUUUCGUUCUAUUCGCGCGAGAGCGUUUUCGCAUUGAAUACGCAGUGUGCUUUACGAGGAUUGCCGGGCAGGCAGAGAUCCCACGGAUAAAAGCUCGUUGAUGGAUUUAUCGAAACGCGUUCCGCUAUCGGGCAUAACUAAAUUCCUAUCGGCACAUUGAAAUGUUGGCAAUCAAAG